rnacentral:rRNA from 1 species
GAUGAACGCUGGCGGCGUGCCUAAUACAUGCAAGUCGAGCGGACAGACGAGCAGAUUGCUCCUCUGACGUUAGCGGCGGACGGGUACGUAACACGUAGAUAACCUACCUCUAAGACAUACACAACUACGGGAAACCGAAGCUAAUACCGAUGCAUAUAUUUAACCGCAUGGUUCAAUAGUCAAAGAAGGUUUUGCUGUCGCUUAUAGAUGGCUCCGCGCCGCAUUAGCUAGUUGGUAAGGUAACGGCUUACCAAGGCAACGAUGCGUAGCCGACCUGAGAGGGUGAUCAGCCACACUGGAACUGAGACACGGUCCAGACUACUACGGGAGGCAGCAGUAGGGAAUCGUCCACUGUGGGCGGGAGCUUGGCGGAGCAACGCCGCGUGGGGGGUGAAGGUCUUCGGAUCGUAAAACUCUGUCGUUAUGGAAGAACAAAUGUGUAAGUAACUAUGCACGUCUUGACGGUACCUAAACAGAAAGCCACGGCUAACUACGUG